ACGACUCGCAGUCUCUUAAAUUAGCAUAAACAUUAGAGGCAAACUCUUUAGUGUGUGGGGGUCUCUUUCUGUGCUGCUGUGUAUCAUAAUUUUUUUACAAUUCACGUUUAAUUAACAAAGCAGAAAAGAAAAAAGUAUCAGAUCUUCGGCGAAAAUUGAGCCUUCCAUAAGGUGUCAAGGACAUAAGCUAUUCUCGCUUGGGUCGAGGAUCUUCUUCUUGUGUGGUCAGAAAGAGAACGGAGGAUUGGUGAAGUGGAUCGUGGAACAGAGGAUUGGUCACAUUUCUGCCUUCCAAAUCUUCAGAAGCCGCAGCUCGGCGGUGGUGCUGCAGUCAUCGUCUCUGAAGUCAGCAAGAAGGAGAGAGAAGUGAUGAAUUUCACGAAGACAAACUAAGCUAUUUAUAGCUCCAGAUUUACCGACUGGAAGAAAAUGAGAGAUGCAAUGAAUGUGAUAUUGUGGAAGGAGUGGGGGAGAUGGACAUUAAUGACAAUGAUUGAACUUAUAAGGGAUCCGUAACGGAGGAGAAGAGUCUCAAAUAAAACGACGCGAAAGAAGUUCAACCAAGAGAUCCCUCUGGAAUGUUGUUCUCACACAACCUCCAUUCAACGCUAUUGUCGGUUUAUGUAGAUUGAAGAAGACGAUUGUUCUUUCUAAUCGGGCUGGGCUAUUAUCUUUCACAAAACUAAAUAAAAAGAGAAAGCCCAAAAUUUGUAAAGCAGAAAACCCAUAUUAAAUCGAAACAACAACGUAACAAUUAACUGA